rnacentral:rRNA from 1 species
GACGAACGCUGGCGGCGUGCUUAACACAUGCAAGUCGAACGGUAAGGCCUUUCGGGGUACCCGAGUGGCGAACGGGUGAGUAACACGUGGGUGAUCUGCCCUGCACUUCGGGAUAAGCCCGGGAAACUGGGUCUAAUACCGGAUAGGACUGCGCGGUGCAUGCCGUGUGGUGGAAAGAUUUAUCGGUGCAGGAUGGGCCCGCGGCCUAUCAGCUUGUUGGUGGGGUAAUGGCCUACCAAGGCGACGACGGGUAGCCGGCCUGAGAGGGCGACCGGCCACACUGGGACUGAGACACGGCCCAGACUCCUACGGUAGGCAGCAGUGGGGAAUAUUGCACAAUGGGCGCAAGCCUGAUGCAGCGACGCCGCGUGAGGGAUGACGGCCUUCGGGUUGUAAACCUCUUUCAGCAGGGACGAAGCGUGAGUGACGGUACCUGCAGAAGAAGCACCGGCCAACUACGUG